rnacentral:lncRNA from 1 species
AUGAGUUCUCACGAGUUCUGGUUGUUUAAAAGUGUGUAGCACCUCCCCCUUCACUGUCUUCCUCCUGCUCUGUCCAGGAGGAAGAAGUGCCUCCUUCCUCUUUGCUUUCUGCCUGAAUUGUAACUUUCCUGAGGCCUCUCCAGCCUGCUUCCUUUCCAGCCUGAGAAAAUGAUGAAACAAAGCAGAGAGGAAGAAAAUCCUGGAUCUGUCUUGGCCAAUGGUUGGAGAAAAAAGGGUAGUGCUACCUAAGAAAAUUUAAAGCAACAUCUGUCAAUAAAAUCUGUUAAAAGAGUCAAGGGGAACAGUGUUCAAGGUCAUCUCUUUUGAUCAAGGGGUUCACCACCAUAUUUCUUGAGUGUUAACAUUCAUCAUCUUUUCCCCCAUGUUCAUUCCCACUUGGAGCCACAGAAGAAGGAAAUUUUAAAAAAUACUUUACGUCAUCACUGUAGCAGAUUCCUCAUAAUACGGUUAUGUUGUCCAGGCUGGAAGGCAGUGACUAUUCACAGGUGUGAUCCCACUAUGGACCAG